CGAACGCUGGCGGCAGGCUUAACACAUGCAAGUCGAACGCCCCGCAAGGGGAGUGGCAGACGGGUGAGUAACGCGUGGGAAUCUGCCCUUAGGUUCGGAAUAACUUCGGGAAACUGAAGCUAAUACCGGAUGAUGACGUAAGUCCAAAGAUUUAUCGCCUAAGGAUGAGCCCGCGUUGGAUUAGCUAGUUGGUGAGGUAAAGGCUCACCAAGGCGACGAUCCAUAGCUGGUCUGAGAGGAUGAUCAGCCACACUGGGACUGAGACACGGCCCAGACUCCUACGGGAGGCAGCAGUGGGGGAAUAUUGGACAAUGGGCGAAAGCCUGAUCCAGCAAUGCCGCGUGAGUGAUGAAGGCCUUCGGGUUGUAAAGCUCUUUUACUCGGGACGAUAAUGACGGUACCGAGAGAAUAAGCCCCGGCUAACUCCGUG
rnacentral:rRNA from 1 species